GAUGAACGCUGGCGGCGUGCCUAAUACAUGCCAGUCGAGCGAACAGACGAGGAGCUUGCUCCUCUGACGUUAGCGGCGGACGGGUGAGUAACACGUGGAUAACCUACCUAUAAGACUGGGAUAACUUCGGGAAACCGGAGCUAAUACCGGAUAAUAUAUUGAACCGCAUGGUUCAAUAGUGAAAGACGGUUUUGCUGUCACUUAUAGAUGGAUCCGCGCCGCAUUAGCUAGUUGGUAAGGUAACGGCUUACCAAGGCAACGAUGCGUAGCCGACCUGAGAGGGUGAUCGGCCACACUGGAACUGAGACACGGUCCAGACUCCUACGGGAGGCAGCAGUAGGGAAUCUUCCGCAAUGGGCGAAAGCCUGACGGAGCAACGCCGCGUGAGUGAUGAAGGUCUUCGGAUCGUAAAACUCUGUUAUUAGGGAAGAACAAAUGUGUAAGUAACUAUGCACGUCUUGACGGUACCUAAUCAGAAAGCCACGGCGAACUACGU
rnacentral:rRNA from 1 species